rnacentral:lncRNA from 1 species
CUAGAUCAAGUAGUUGAUCUUUUUUUCUACAGAUCUUUGGGAGCCGAACGUGUAAGCAGCCAGCUAGUUAAAGAGAGAUUGAACAAGCAUUUGUCAGUACUGGUUUAGGUCUGAAGCAAGGUCCAGCUCAGCUGUUUCCUAUAAGAAAUGUUAUGACAUCUGAACAAACGCUCUUAAAAAGGUGUAUCUCUGGAAGGACAGAAAAUUAAACAAAAGAACAGAAUACACUCUGGAUUUUCUUCCUAUGUACAGUCUACACUGAUUGAAGUGCUGAAUCCACUCAUAGGACCAGCUUACUGUAAAUACUCCAUUUCAAUAGACUGCCAAAAGAACUGCAAAAUACUUCAAAGCCUGCUGAAGCAAGAAUCAAGUUUGGUUAUUUUCUGUUCCAUAAUGUUAUCUCUUGUGGACAGCUCAACCUAUAAGAAGUGAAUUUGU